rnacentral:rRNA from 1 species
UACGAAGGGUGCAAGCGUUACUCGGAAUUACUGGGCGUAAAGCGUGCGUAGGCGGUUUGUUAAGUCCGCUGUGAAAGUCGAGGGCUCAACCCUCGAAAGCCGGUGGAUACUGUCGGGCUAGAGUGCGGAAGAGGCGAGUGGAAUUCCUGGUGUAGCGGUGAAAUGCGCAGAUAUCAGGAGGAACACCAAUUGCGAAGGCAGCUCGCUGGGACGUUACUGACGCUGAGACGCGAAAGCGUGGGGAGCAAACAGG